rnacentral:rRNA from 1 species
CGAAAGGGGCAGUAAUACAUGGGUAACCUACCCUUGGGCCUGGGAUAGCUGUUCUAACGGACAGGUAAUACCGGGUACGCCGGCCGUGUUGCAUGACAUGGUCGGGAGAGGGCAACCGCCCGAGGAGGGGCCCAUGCGAUAUUAGCUAGUUGGCGGGGUAAUGGCCCACCAAGGCGAAGAUGUCUAGCGGGUGUGAGAGCACGACCCGCGCCAUUGGCACUGAGACACUGGCCAGACUCCUACGGGAGGCUGCAGUCGAGGAUCUUCGGCAAUGGGCGCAAGCCUGACCGAGCGACGCCGCGUGUGCGAUGAAGGCCCUUCGGGUUGUAAAGCACUGUCGAGAGGGAGCAAGCCGCAAGGUUGAGCGACCUCUGGAGGAAGCACGGGCUAAGUUCGUGCCAGCAGCCGCGGUAAGACGAACCGUGCGAACGUUGUUCGGAAUCACUGGGCUUAAAGGGCGCGUAGGCGGGAUGGCAAGUCGGAGGUGAAAGCCCCCAGCUUAACUGGGGAAGUGCCCUCGAUACUGCCGUUCUCGAGAGAGGUAGGGGCGUGUGGAACUUCCGGUGGAGCGGUGAAAUGCGUAGAUAUCGGAAGGAACGCCGGUGGCGAAAAGCGAUGCGCUGGACCUUUUCUGACGCUGAGGCGCGAAAGCUAGGGGAGCGAACGGGAUUAGAUACCCCGGUAGUCCUAGCCCUAAACGAUGGGUACUGGGUUGCGGGUCAGACAUGGACUCGCAGCCGAAGCAAAAGUGGUAAGUACCCCGCCUGGGGAGUAUGGUCGCAAGGCUGAAACUCAAAGGAAUUGACGGGGGCUCACACAAGCGGUGGAGCAUGUGGCUUAAUUCGAGGCUACGCGAAGAACCUUAUCCUAGACUUGACAUGGUGGAAGUAUCCUGGCGGAAACGUUGGGAGGCCGGUAUCCAAUCCGGAGACCAUCACAGGUGCUGCAUGGCUGUCGUCAGCUCGUGUCGUGAGAUGUCGGGUUAAGUCCCAUAACGAGCGAAACCCUUGCCUCCAGUUGCCAGCGGGUGAUGCCGGGGACUCCGGAGGGACUGCCGGUGUUAAACCGGAGGAAGGUGGGGAUGACGUCAAGUCCUCAUGGCCUUUACGUCUAGGGCUGCACACGUGCUACAAUGGCGCGCA